rnacentral:misc_RNA from 1 species
GUACUAGACCCCAGAUGAGGAUCUCAGGAAGAUCCACAAAGCUGCGUCCAGGGGAACGAACGUGUGGAAGCUGCAGCGGAGCCUCCUGCUCAAGAGUAAAGGACCGGUCUGAAACCUACAAGAACAGAUUCUCACAGUAGACGAGGAGCCUGUUUUUCAG